CAGCUAGUAGAAAUCUUGCAACUCCUUUUUCAGGCCAACUUACACAUUUAGUAAAGGGGGAAUAGAGCAUGAUGUGUGGUAGAAAGGGCAGCACAGAAAGAUAUGUGAGACCAUGUUGAUAGCUUCAUGUGAGCAUGAACAAAGGUGCUUUGAAUGCGAGAUGUUACUGAACCUUCUAACAUCCUUCAGGGUCUUCACAGGAAGGUAUAUAUCUUGUUUUAAAUGACUGAGUGAAGAUCAUGCUUCCGUUGCUAUAUUGACUGUCCCACUACCGACAGAAUCCCUGAUUCAGCUGACUAAGUGGCCUUGGAUAUGCUAUAGGAAACCCCAAAGUGCUUGGUAUUGGGAGAUUUCAACAUUCAAGCUUGACAGGCUGUAGAUGUUAAGAGGACAGAAGGAGAUACAUCUUCCCCACUUGCCAAGGAGGCACUGCUUUUUAAACUACCAUAGUGAAGCCAACAGAUUGUGCUGCAGCAAGUAAACUAAAUCCACAAAGCUUGACAAUUCAGCUGCUAAGUCACAGUGCCAGGCAGUUCCACAGGUCAACCGAGGAAGAGGAGGCUUCACUGAGGCUCUCCUGAGGGUGUGCAGGGAAACUUAAAUGAAGAUUUUCUCACUUUAUUCAAAUUAGGGAACCAAGGAUCAUGCAGUGAUGUAAUUCAGACCUCCCCGUUGGGGGAGAUG